rnacentral:rRNA from 1 species
UACGUAGGAGGCAAGCGUUGUCCGGAAUUACUGGGCGUAAAGCGCGUGUAGGUGGUGGGGACAAGUCUGCUGUGAAAGCGCCUGGCUUAACCGGGCGAGGUCGGCGGAAACUGGUCCGACUAGAGGACGGGUAGAGGGGGGUGGAAUUCCCGGUGGUAGUGGUGAAAUGCGUAGAGAUCGGGAGGAACACCUGUGGCGAAAGCGGCUUUCUGGGCUG